CUUCGCUACUGUCCGCAUGACACAGACCUGAGAGCCGCCAUGUUGGAAUCACCAGGGUUGAUUCUGUUUUUCAUCCGGGGUCACAUUCCAUUCCGGCUCUUUCCUGCUGCAGCGCCACCCUCAGGUCACAAUAUCGUACUGCACCUCCAGGAGAGAUGGGCGUCAUCAGGCGGGUCAGCUGGACGUUCCAGUGUCGUGCUGGUGGCUCCUCUGGCGGGAGGCCCGCAGGUCCUGGAGCUCCUGAGAAGCUGAGUGAAGAGCUGAGGGGGUGUCCUGGUCUGUGCUGCCAUCUGAGGCCUCCUGAAUGAGGUUCUGCAAGGACCUCUGCUGCUCCUGCAGGAGCUGGAACUGCUUCUUCUUCUCGUCUUCCACCUGCAGCAACCUGGAGAAGAGAAGCAGGAACUGAGAUCAACUCCUGCCUGGCCCGCUCCUCCUCCAGCCGGGCCUGGAUCUCCAUGUUGAGAGCGGCCUCCAGUUUCCGCUGCGUCAGCUCCAGUUCCUGGAUCCUCUUCUUCUGCUGCUCAGCCUCCCUUUCCUUCUCCUGCAUC